UUCCGGUUGAUCCUGCCGGACCUGACUGCUAUUGGAGUAGGACUAAGUCACGCUAGUUAAAGGUGCGGAAUGGAGCACCUAGCGCACGGCUCAGUAACACGUAGUCAACCUGCCCUAAGGACGGAUAUAACCACGGGAAACUGUGGAUAAUACCCGAUAGGAAAUUUGGCCUGGAACGGUAUCUUUCCGAAAACCGGCUAGCCGUUAGACACGGGCCUUAGGAUGGGGCUGCGGCUGAUUAUGCUAGAUGGCGGUGUAAAGGACCACCAUGGCGACGAUCAGUAUGGGCGAUGGAAGUCGGAGCCCAGAGUCGGCCACUGAGACAAGGGGCCGAGCCUUACGAGGCUUAGCGGUCGCGAAAACUCGCCAAUGCACGAAAGUGUGAGUGGGCUACUCCAAGUGUCAUUCUUACGGAUGACUGUCGCUCAGUAUUACAAGCUGAGAAAGGAAGGAGAGGGCAAGGCUGGUGCCAGCCGCCGCGGUAAAACCAGCUCUUCGAGUGGUCGGGACGUAUAUUGGGUCUAAAGCGCUCGUAGCCGGACAAGUAGGUUCCUGGUUAAACCCGACAGCAUAACUGUUGGCUCGCUAGGAAUACCGCUAGUCUUGGAAGCGGGAGAGGACAGAGGUAGUCAUGGGGCAGGGGUGAAAUCCAGUGAUCCCAUGGCGACCACCGAUGGCGAAGGCAUCUGUCUGGAACGUAUUCGACGGUGAGGGGCGAAAGCUAGGGGAGCGACCCGGAUUAGAUACCCGGUUAGUCCUAGCCGUAAACGAUGCGGACUAGGUGUUGCGGCGGCCAAGAGCCACCGCGGUGCCACAGCGAAGGCGUUAAGUCCGCCACCUGGGGAGUACGAAUGCAAGUCUGAAACUUAAAGGAAUUGACGGGGGCGCACCACCAGGAGUGAAGCCUGCGGUUUAAUUGGAUUCAACGCCGGG
rnacentral:rRNA from 1 species